rnacentral:rRNA from 1 species
UACGUAGGGAGCAAGCGUUGUCCGGAAUCAUUGGGCGUAAAGCGCGCGUAGGUGGCCUCAUAAGUCCGCUGUGAAAGUCAAAGGCUCAACCUUUGAAAGCCGGUGGAUACUGUGAGGCUAGAGUACGGAAGAGGCGAGUGGAAUUCCUGGUGUAGCGGUGGAAUGCGCAGAUAUCAGGAGGAACACCAAUAGCGAAGGCAGCUCGCUGGGACGUACUGACACUGAGGCGCGAAAGCGUGGGGAGCGAACGGG